GCUCACCGUGCAACAUGACGGGGCACAAAUUAAAGGAUGCCACGGCAAAUGUCCCGACUAGACGCACAUACAGCGCACAGCAGACACAUGUGGCAGCUUCGUCAAGUUGCACAGUAAGCCACAGCUGACCUCUUUCGAAAUCACGUGUUGAGUUUCAAAAACUGGCUUUGAAUGGUCGGAAAUUACUCAAAGAGCAUAGUAAAUACAUAACAAAUACCAAACCAAAUUCAAAGUCUUCUCUCGUGGAAAUCAAGUGCUAUUAGCUACUUAAUCAUACUCGAUUAUUGCUCAUACGCACCGUGUAAAAUGAGGCAAGGCAGCUUGGUACUCAGCACGACGUGUUACGCCCAUCUUACCCCUAUUUUAAAGUGCCUUCUGUGGCGUGGAGGCCGACUUAAAGCGGACACAGCCAAAUUUUCAAAUUAACCUUCCCCAAGCCGACGACGACUCGGUUGAUGCCACAAAUCGAUAGCUUAACAUUUGGCUGGGCCCUUUGGCCGGGGUAAACACCUUCUUGGGUACCCAUUUUGCGGCACAGAAUUAUGGCCGGAAAUUGCCUUAAAGUGUCAAUCAGUGUAAACGUUCUUAAUAGGUAUUUAUUUUUGCCAUUUUAAUUACCCCGCCCCCCCAGCGAAGUUACUCCCACCCACACCUUUGUCGGCGGACAACGAACUGAUGAAAAUGCCUGAUGAUGCCUUAAUUACAUUCCCGAGAAAAAGAACUCAUUUCCGAGUGAAUUUUUCAUUCAGCAUUUUCGGGCUGUUAUUGCAGAUUAUUUACAAUCGAUGGCAAAGUGAUCUGUUGACAAGA